rnacentral:rRNA from 1 species
GGGUUGUGAGGUUAAGCGACUAAGCGUACACGGUGGAUGCCCUGGCAGUCAGAGGCGAUGAAGGGCGUGCUAAUCUGCGAUAAGCGCCGGUAAGGUGAUAUGAACCGUUAUAACCGGCGAUACCCGAAUGGGGAAACCCAGUGUGAUUCGUCACACUAUCAUUAACUGAAUCCAUAGGUUAAUGAGGCGAACCGGGGGAACUGAAACAUCUAAGUACCCCGAGGAAAAGAAAUCAACCGAGAUUCCCCCAGUAGCGGCGAGCGAACGGGGAGGAGCCCAGAGCCUGAAUCAGCAUGUGUGUUAGUGGAAGCGUCUGGAAAGGCGCGCGAUACAGGGUGACAGCCCCGUACACAAAAGCGCAUGUGCUGUGAGCUCGAUGAGUAGGGCGGGACACGUGGUAUCCUGUCUGAAUAUGGGGGGACCAUCCUCCAAGGCUAAAUACUCCUGACUGACCGAUAGUGAACCAGUACCGUGAGGGAAAGGCGAAAAGAACCCCGGCGAGGGGAGUGAAAAAGAACCUGAAACCGUGUACGUACAAGCAGUGGGAGCACCCUUUUGGGUGUGACUGCGUACCUUUUGUAUAAUGGGUCAGCGACUUAUAUUCUGUAGCAAGGUUAACCGAAUAGGGGAGCCGGAGGGAAACCGAGUCUUAAUUGGGCGUUAAGUUGCAGGGUAUAGACCCGAAACCCGGUGAUCUAGCCAUGGGCAGGUUGAAGGUUGGGUAACACUAACUGGAGGACCGAACCGACUAAUGUUGAAAAAUUAGCGGAUGACCUGUGGCUGGGGGUGAAAGGCCAAUCAAACCGGGAGAUAGCUGGUUCUCCCCGAAAGCUAUUUAGGUAGCGCCUCGUGAACUCAUCUCCGGGGGUAGAGCACUGUUUCGGCUAGGGGGCCAUCCCGGCUUACCAACCCGAUGCAAACUGCGAAUACCGGAGAAUGUUAUCACGGGAGACACACGGCGGGUGCUAACGUCCGUCGUGAAGAGGGAAACAACCCAGACCGCCAGCUAAGGUCCCAAAGUCAUGGUUAAGUGGGAAACGAUGUGGGAAGGCCCAGACAGCCAGGAUGUUGGCUUAGAAGCAGCCAUCAUUUAAAGAAAGCGUAAUAGCUCACUGGUCGAGUCGGCCUGCGCGGAAGAUGUAACGGGGCUAAACCAUGCACCGAAGCUGCGGCAGCGACGCUUAUGCGUUGUUGGGUAGGGGAGCGUUCUGUAAGCCUGUGAAGGUGGCCUGUGAGGGUUGCUGGAGGUAUCAGAAGUGCGAAUGCUGACAUAAGUAACGAUAAAGCGGGUGAAAAGCCCGCUCGCCGGAAGA